CGUAGUUGGAUUCCUGGCGUGGUGCGCCCGGCCCGAUACCGCUAAGGUGUCGAGUGCCGGCGCGCGCCUGCCAUCCUUCCGGAGAGCGUGCCUACCCUUCACUGGGCCGGGUACGCGAUCUGGAUCGUUUACUUUGAAAAAAUUAGAGUGUUUAAAGCAGGCUUACGCUUCUGAAUACAUUAGCAUGGAAUAAUAAGAUAGGACUUUGGUUCUAUUUUGUUGGUUUCUAGAACUAAAGUAAUGA
rnacentral:rRNA from 1 species